AGGGAUUUAGGAUAACAUGAAACCAAGGGCCUUCAAAGCCCUAAACGGGAGUGAAAAUCUCCCAAUCCCUG
rnacentral:tRNA from 1 species